AGCAGCCGCGGUAAUUCCAGUUCCAAUAGCGUAUAUUAAAGUUGUUGCAGUUAAAAAGCUCGUAGUUGAAUUUCGGGAUUGACGUGAUGGUCGUGCCUUACGGGGUAUGAACUGUUGCAGUCAAUUUCUCACCUUCUGGAGAAAUAUGAUGUCCUUAAUUGGGUGUCAUAUGGAACCAGAACUUUUACCUUGAAAAAAUUAGAGUGUUUAAAGCAGGCUUAUUGCUCGAAUACAUUAGCAUGGAAUAAUAAAAUAGGACGGCAUGGUUCUAUUUUGUUGGUUUCUAGGAUCACCGUAAUGAUUAAUAGGGAUAGUUGGGGGCAUUAGUAUUCAAUUGUCAGAGGUGAAAUUCUUGGAUUUAUUGAAGACUAACUACUGCGAAAGCAUUUGCCAAGGAUGUUUUCACUAAUCAAGAACGAAAGUUAGGGGAUCGAAGACGAUCAGAUACCGUCGUAGUCUUAACCAUAAACUAUGCCGACUAGGAAUCAGACGAUGUUAAUUUUUUAAUGACUCGUUUGGC
rnacentral:misc_RNA from 1 species